GGAGAGGUGCCCGAGAGGCCGAAGGGGCACGACUGGAAAUCGUGCAGGGGACUAAAAUCCCCUCGCGGGUUCGAAUCCCGCCCUCUCCG
rnacentral:tRNA from 1 species